AUAAAACAUAAUAAAAUGAAAUCCCAAAGGUCUCUUUCCAUCUGAGCUUACUUUCCCUAAUUUGGGUUUGUCUCUUAGGUCCACCGGGCAUACUUAGUAUCUUUGGACAAAUAGGAAUUCAAUGAAAACGUAUUCUUAAAGGCGAAAAAGGUGGAUUUGCUAGACGCCCGACCUGGCCGCGCCCUACCCGUAUACCUCACGUACUCCAAAUGGUGCCGGCGCCCCCAGCAGACGGUCUACGUGGGAAGGGCAGCCGGACUGCCGCUGCACCCGCCAAACCACGCGGGAACCAGCCGCUUCCGCCUCCCGCGCGGCACUUCCGGCCGACGCAGGCAGCUGGCACUUCCGGGCCGGCCGAUUCCGCGCGUCUCCGCCCAUCAUGGCGCUCGUGCCAGUGUCCCGUGGGCUACCCACUCCUGUCAUGUCCUUUGGGCUGGUGCAGGCCAGAUCUUCUAGGGCCGUAGCCCUGAGAGGAGCGCCUGGAGAGGAAACGGCGCGCCAUGCACCUCACACGGCCCCUCAGACCUCACGGCGAGGCCCUAUCA
rnacentral:lncRNA from 1 species